UGCCAGCCGCCGCGGUAAUACGUGUGGUCCAAGCGUUGUUCGGAAUUACUGGGCUUAAAGGGUGCGUAGGUGGUUGUUUAAGUCAGUGGUGAAAGUCGUCUGCCCAACGGGCGAAUUGCCAUUGAUACUGAGCAACUUGAGUGUGCUAGGGGGAUGCGGAACGAGUGGUGUAGCGGUGAAAUGCGUAGAUAUCACUCGGAAGGCCAGAGGCGAAGGCGGCAUCCUGGGGCACAACUGACACUGAGGCACGAAAGCGUGGGGAGCAAACAGGAUUAGAUA
rnacentral:rRNA from 1 species